UACGGAGGGGGCGAGCGUUAUUCGGAAUUAUUGGGCGUAAAGGGCGCGUAGGCGGCUUGCUGUGUCAAAGGUGAAAUCCCUCGGCUCAACUGAGGAACUGCCUUUGAAACUGUCUGGCUUGAGGCCGGGAGAGGGUAGCGGAAUUCCCAGUGUAGCGGUGAAAUGCGUAGAUACUGGGAGGAACACCGGUGGCGAAGGCGGCUACCUGGACCGGAACUGACGCUGAGGCGCGAAAGCGUGGGUAGCAAACAGG
rnacentral:rRNA from 1 species